AUCCAGUUGACGAGUCCCAUAUAGAAUGUAACGCGCGUCCUGGAU
rnacentral:hammerhead_ribozyme from 1 species